UCCGAUCGGAAUAUGAGAAACAAUAAGCUGACAUUUCUAAAGCAAUAGCCACUUUUAGGGAGGUUAGUUUUAUUCUUCGUUACACCAUAUUUUAAACAUUAUAAUGCUGCCUGUCUUACGACGCGAAAGAGAAAGACAACGCCUUCAAGCGAUACAGGCAAAUAAAAUUAUGAGAAGGAGAAUAAGAUAUAUGCUUGACCCAUUUAGUCUGUCUGAGAACCAAUUCGUUGGGUUGUAUCGUCUCACAAAAAAUCUGACAAGUUCUCAUACAAGCACUGGAACCACAUCUUCCUCUACGCAGAAGCCCUCUAGCAAUUCCAAAUGAAUCCAGAUCUCACUCGCUCCACUCUCGUUAUCGUAAGCACCCUCUGUUAAGCCAGCGGCACACGGUGCUUGUU